ensembl:lncRNA
GGGGGAGGCACUGGUCUUCAUGGACUCACACUGCCAGAGCUGUGGGGGAGGCACUGGUCUUCAUGGACUCACACUGCGGGUGCAGCAGUGGCUGGCUGGAGUCACUACUGGAGUGGCACAGGACAGUCUGUCUAUCUGUCUGUGUCUCUCUGUCCAGGUGUAGUUGUGUGGGGGAUUUCAUGGAGGUGGUCCCCUGCUCCAGAGUGGCUCACUUGAGGAGCCAUCACCUGUCCUACCCCCUCCCUGACCAGGAUAUCCUCCAGAGGAACAACAUCUGCAUCACUGACACCUGGCUGGAAGAUCUACUAACAGAGAGAUCACUUCAUCAGACAGAGCUAGUCAGACUGAAGAAGAGACCGGGCUGCAGAAACUUCCACUGGUUCCUGACUGACGUCUACCCAGAACUCUAUAUGCCACAGGGCAGACCUUCACUCUCA